rnacentral:tRNA from 1 species
GGGCGAGUGGUGAAACUGGUAUACACGUAGCGUUCAGAGCGCUAUGGACUUCUGUCCGUGAGGGUUCAAAUCCCUCCUCGCCCA